rnacentral:rRNA from 1 species
CUUCCUACGGGGGGCAGCAGUAGGGAAUCUUCCACAAUGGACGAAAGUCUGAUGGAGCAACGCCGCGUGAGUGAAGAAGGGUUUCGGCUCGUAAAGCUCUGUUGGGAGUGAAGAAAGAUAGAGGGAGUAACUGGCCUUUAUUUGACGGUAAUUACUUAGAAAGUCACGGCUAACUACGUGCCAGCAGCCGCCGGAAUACGUAAGUGGCAAGCGCUUUCCGGGUUUAUUGGGCGUAA